rnacentral:rRNA from 1 species
UACGUAGGGGGCAAGCGUUGUCCGGAAUCAUUGGGCGUAAAGAGCGUGUAGGCGGCCCGAUAAGUCCGCCGUGAAAGUCCAGGGCUCAACCCUGGAAUGGCGGUGGAAACUGUCGGGCUGGAGUCCGGAAGAGGCGAGUGGAAUUCCUGGUGUAGCGGUGAAAUGCGCAGAUAUCAGGAGGAACACCAAUGGCGAAGGCAGCUCGCUGGGACGGUACUGACGCUGAGACGCGAAAGCGUGGGGAGCAAACAGG